rnacentral:rRNA from 1 species
CCUACGGGAGGCUGCAGUGGGGAAUAUUGCACAAUGGGGGAAACCCUGAUGCAGCGACGCCGCGUGAGUGAAGAAGUAAUUCGUUACGUAAAGCUCUAUCAGCAGGGAAGAAAAUGACGGUACCUGAGUAAUAAGCCCCGGAUAACUCCGUGCCAGCAGCCGCGGUAAUACGUAGGGGCAAAGCGUUAUCCGGAUUUACUGGGUGGAAAGGGAGCGUGGACUGUGUGCCAAGUCUGGAGUGAAAUGCCGCAGCUUAACUGCGGGACUGCUUUGGAUACUGGCGAACUAGAGUGAGGGAGGGGUAAGCGGAAUUCUUAGUGUAGCGGUGAAAUGCGUAGAUAUUAGGAGGAACACCGGUGGCGAAGGCGGCUUACUGGACCUUAACUGACGUUGAGGCUCGAAAGCGUGGGGAGCAAACAGGAUUAGAUACCCCAGUAGUC